UUCCUUGCUCUUUCUCCCUCAACUCUCAGUCCUUUCCUUUCCCUCCCUCCCUCUCCCCAGCGUUCUGAACUCCCAGGUUCCUUCUUUCUUCUCUUCCCUCUUUCCGGUCUCUUUGUCUGCCCCCUCCUUUCUUCUUCCUUCUCCCUCUCCCUCCGCACCCCCCACUCCCGGGUCUGCUCUCCCCCUCUGCGCCCCCAGCCCUCCCUCCGCCCUCGCCCCGCCCUCCCCUCCCAGCCUCUCCCCCUUCCUUCUCCGCUCUCUCGCUCUCUGUGAUUUAUUACUUGCCCUGCUGCUUCUGACAAACUAUUUGUAGGAAAAUGAGAUUUGGUCCGCGCUGGAUGGUUCCUCUGGGAGGCAGGCGUGGGGGUCGGGUGUCGGAGCCCCCGUGUGGCGCCCCCGCCGGAGCCCCACGGCGCUUACGGAGCUCUUUAAGAUAAAUGAGCAAAAUUAAGAGACUCACUGGGGGAAGAAAACCCUGGCUGGCAGCGAGUGAGAGCCGAUGGUACGUGGUUGCCUCCCAAAAAGGCAUCCGCGUGCCCCCUACUGGGGCCUCCCCCACCCGCCUCAGUCUCCAGGGAACUCCCUCCCCCAGGAGAAGAACUUCCAGCCCCAGGGCAGGAGCGGUUCUGUUCCCAGGAUGUGGCGCCGACAAGGUCUGAGACCUCUACUAAGGCAGGUGAGGGAAGCAUACGGAGGAAAAGAAAGCGGCUGGAGGCACAGCUCGGUGGUAGAGCAUCUGUCAGCACAGAAACAGCCCUCUUUCGAUCUCCAGCACGAAGCGGGGAAAAGAACCUAAAAGCCACCUGUUAUUUCUACUAUUGAUAGUUUGAUCUUUUUCUGAAUUUGAAAUUUGUAUUAAAACUAGUAUGUUGUAAACA